UUGUGAAUAGGUACCUGAUUCAGACUUCUGCUCCUAUCUGGGGCUCUUGGAGGGAGGCCCUACUGCAGAAAUUUGACUGGAAAAGAAUUAAAAAUAUCUGAGCGCAGGAAAGGUAUUUGAAAGCUUGUAAUGCUUGUCAUCUCUCGGAAACAGGACUUUUUUUUUUUUUUUUUGCCAUUGACUGUUUAGUUUGUGAUAAGCUUGGUAGAAUUGGAGCUGCCAGGAUUUUAAAAACUCAUUUUAAUAAUGCUUUAAAGUCCUCGGUUUCAACUCCCAUGGCCAAACUAACAAGCUUUUACAGUAUUUAUUAUGUCCAAUACAUCACUCGUUCUAUGAAAGACGGGACAGGCUGGAAGCAGUGUCAUAGCUGUCAGCAGUUCUCUCAGUGUAUAUGAACUUCCUUGUCCCAGGAUGCUACAAAGAGGACUUUGACAAAGGAAGAGGCCCAGACAGGUCAAAUCCACAGGGAUCUCCAACUUGUGAAGAAAACAAAAACCAAACCCACUCCUGAAUCAGUCCCACACCUACCACACAAACUACCUACACCUACUGUUAAUUGCACAGAAAGUAGUACAUUAAACUAAGCCCAAGAUUUUUCAUAAAAUGUGUAUCGUUUAAAAAAAAAACCUACUCUUUAGUGUGUUGUUUUCCACAAGAUUGCACAAGUUUGCCGUUGCAUUCCAGGAACCUAAGCUAACUUCUCAUUGGACCCACUCCUGUGUUCUCGGCAACAUCAAGUAGAUGAUCAACGUGAGUUUCCUGGGAAAGCAUCUCUAACAAACAAAGACAAGAAUUCUCACACUCAGAGCAGUCUGCCAUGCUUUAUUCUCCUCUGGCAGCUUCCAACUUUAUGUUAAUAUAUAAAUGGCAACUGCUCAUUAUGUGUACACACAUCCAAGAGCACACGCGUUUAUUGUUGCUGUUCCCAAGGUGCACUUUUAAUGACAGUCUCAGACAUCAUGGCAGGAAAUGAAAGCUGAUUCCUGGGAGCAGAACAGAAAAGAGUGAAGGAGAGGGAAAGAAGAGAAAGAACAACAGGAAGUAGAGCGAUGCUGACAAACAUGACGGAGGCACAGACAGCAAGCAAAGCAUCACAAGGUCCAGUGCAUCCUCCACUGGAGUGCUGGGUGUGUGUGUUUGCUGGCUUACAUGUCUUCAUGUCCUAAUGAAAUGUGGUGGCUUUCAGAUUAUUCUGACUCUUUUGUGACUUCCUGCAGAUGUAUGAUUCGAGUUUCAUUACAUAUCUGCUAUUUUUGCGAACCUAUAGAACACAAAAAAGUCUGAAGACUUCUCUUUUAACACCUACAGUUAUUUAAAAUACAAAACCUUAGGAAGUUUCCUCUGAGCAGUGUGACUUUGCAUCUGUUUACUAUGCUUACAAAAGCAGACCUCAGCACAAACAGUCAGGCAGAUGAGAAGAGGGGAAGAGGACGUUGAAGGAGCUACCCUAUGAGAAAGGAGCAGUGUUUCCUGGUUACCCAGGGAAAACUAAGGAAAUGCAGGACUGAGGUCUGCUGUCUAGCGCUUAUUCAUGUGGGCAUAUUAACAUUAAGUAUUAUCACAAGUGCCGCUGACGAAGGUAACUUUAGACUCCCGAGUGUCAUAUUAUUUCAAGUUCAUUUUCAGAUUAUAAUUGUUUUAUUGUAAAGAAUAUCCCAAAAUUAUAAUCAUUUCAGCAUAUAUAAUAUGCCAAAGUUGUAAAUCCUCUAAUGAAAGCAGCGAUAUAUGGUUUGUUUGUGUUUUAUUUCUGAGUCGUGUACUGUCUAAUUCGUUCGUUUCUUUGAUUGACACGAGCUAGGGUUAUCUGGCAAUAGGGAACUGCAAGGCUGUGAUACAUUUUUUUUAAAUGAGGAUGUGUUACGAAAGGGCCCAGCCUACCAAGAGGGAAAUCUCUUUUGGACUGGUUGUCAUGGCAUACAUAAGAAGGCAUGUGGAGCAAGCCACCGGGAGCAAGCCAAGUUCCUGUAAAGUCUCUCUGCUUUGGCUCAGCCUCCAGGUUCCCGGCCUGUGGUUUAAUCACCCCUUCCUUCCAUGAUGGACUACAGAUAUGAGCUCAAGUGAAAACCUCUCCUCACCAAGUUGCUUUUGGUCAUGGUGUUUGCCACAGCAAGAGACGGUAAACUAACGCAAGUCUCUCACAUCAUCUGCUGCAAACAAGGGGUACACUUGCUUCACAAGCAGAGGUCUAGCGCUUCCUACUCUGUUGUCUUCUCUCUUAGUCCCGGGAACGAAAGCAGAACAAAGCAAAACAAAAACUUCAUAAUAACCUAAAUACAGCCGUAAAUAACCUAAACAUCUUAAAUUAAGAGAAUCAGGAGGUUAUGGCGUAACAAGAAUGUUCCAUGGUCCCCCGCAUGCCCUCAAUGUGGCGUCUAUCAAUGGUGCUGUCUCCUAACGUCAUACAAGUGCGUGUUUUCAAAUAUGCUAAAUAUAACAGUUUAGAUAUAAGAAGAGGAGGUUCAGGGCUGAGACAAUGGCUAAGCAGAUGAAGACAUUCAUAGUCGAUCCUGAAGACCUGAGUUCAAUUCCUGGUAGCCACAAAAGGGACAGAGAGAACCUGUUCUCAUAAGGACACUUAUCCUACCCACUGGUGCCAUGGACUGUAAUUCCAAACAAAGAAGUGGAAGAAUAUAAUAGAAAAUAAGUUUCAGAGGUAACUAAACUUUAGUGCUGACAUGUAAUUGCCUUGGUUACUAUUAGUUUUAAGCAUAGUUGUAAGUAUUACAUUCUUUUUCACGAAUCAUGGUAUUUAAUUAUAAAACUCCCAAUAUAUGUUACAAAUGGAAAACACAUUCUGUCCUAUCAUCUGCAGUAUAGGACAUAUAUUUUAAAUAAAACUUGUAGUAUUAAACUUCUUUUCUUUUUUAAAUAUUUAAAUAUUGAUUUAUUAAUUUUUACUAGUGGAAUGUUUUGCCUUUGGGUGGGGCAUGGUUGUCCCUUGUGUCCCUGGUCCCUGUGAAGGUCAGAAGAGGGCAUCAGAUUCUUGGCAUCAAGGCUGGGCACUCUACAAGAGCAGUCAGUGCUCUUAUCCACUGAGCCAUCGCUGAAGAACUCAAAACGUCUACUUGUUUGAGAGAGAGAGAGAGAGAGAGAGAGAGAGAGAGAGAGAGAGAGAGACAGAGAGACAGAGACAGAGACAGAGAGACAGAGAGACAGAGAGACAGAGAGAAUGGAUGAGGGACACAGAGACAGAGAAACAGAGACAGAGAUGUAUAGAGACAAACAGAGACAGUAGUGUGGACUCCGAGUUCACAAGGGAAAGCCAGAAAACACCUUGCUAAAGUCCGCUUUCUGUCUAUCAUGUGGUUCUGGACAUCUAACAGAGGUGUUUGGGCUUAGAAACAAUCAUUUGUAUUCACUGUCCAUAUUGUUGGCCUUAAAGUUACCUUAUAACUAAUAUUUUCACUAAUACUUAGAAACUUACAUCAAAAUCUCUUGUGUGUGAAUUUAUCAUCAUAAUAUUACCAUCCAUCAAGGAUUAAAGGCCAUUCUCAGAAAUACUGUGUUAAAGGUUACUUAGAUCAUAUAGUACGGCUUUAAUUUCUAAUGUUUAAAAAGGCCGCUUUAAAUUUCACAAUAGCAAGAGCAAAUGUAUAGUAUAAAUGAAAUUAUAUAUGCCAAAACCCAACUGUAUCAGUCUGUACAUAAGUACUAUUAAACAGAUAAAGAGUAGAACAUAUUUUAUUGUAAAUGCUAAAAGCUAUUACAUUAAAUGAGAUAUCAAGACUGAUCAUCAAGUAAUAAAUGUAUUCAGGCUCAUCGACAUUUGGGGUGAAAGCAAACUCAGAAUUAAACCCUAUGGUGAAUCAUUCAUAAGACCACAAAAAUUGCAUUCAUUGGCUCGCACUGUGAAUCAACAGGAGAAAUAUUCCUAAGCCUGUUUUCCUCAAUAUACGCAGAUAACUAAUUGCUUGUGAUCUUGUAAUGCUCUACGUAGCUUCCUCAAGGAGCAAUCCUGAGCUUCCCCAGGGCUUCACUGAUCAUGUGUGGGCAAGGUAAACGGUGCUUGCUUUUUCCAAACAAGGCAGUAACAAUGGAGACAAGCAACUAAUGAUGGUGGGUAUAUGUCUUAUAACCAUAUAGAGGAUUCUUAAUCACCUACAGAUAGAUUAAAAGUUCAUCACUGUUAAAUGUGUAAAUUGACAUAACUAAUUAAGGAAAUGUCUUCAUAACAUUGUAUUAAAAAUAACAAUUUAAAGUAUUUUUGUCUGUAUAUUUCUGAAUUUUGAGUUUGCUUUGUUAACAAAAUGUGAAAUAUUUACAUAAGAACAGACACCCAUUAUUUAGCCAUUUGCUUGGUAUAAAACCC
ensembl:lncRNA